CCGAGAAUGCCGCAGCUUCUCCCCCUUUUAAAUAAAGGUGAUGUUCGCGAUUCCUGUUGUUGCAAACUUAAUACUUCCACCGUUCUAGUUCCUAAAAAAAAGAGACACAGAAGAACUUUUCUAGAACUUAAAAGGGAUUUUGUUUGUUCUGAAUGCGAUCGAAGGUAUGCUUCAGAGCAUUCACUUCUUCAACACAUGAAAAUUAAACAUACCCAGGCUAAUAAGGAGCAAGAAAAAAUUCGUGAAACUCGUGAACAGCCAUCGGUUAAGACUCCUCCGCUUCGUGAGAAGCCCGAAGUUUCUACCUAUGUUUACACUCAAAAUGAAGUAGGGAAACUGGGUGAGGGACCUCUGUCAACCGCACAAAACUGCAUAAAUUCAGAACCUAAUGAGUCUGAAUACCGUUCGAUUUACACAUACCAUAACAACUAUCCUGUUACUCACUCUCGAAGUUUGAGUAAGGACUUCAUGGAACAUCGUUAUAGCCCCUUUUACCCGAAAUAUUCGGGAGUCAGCGCGACACCCGUUAAUAAAAUUUGCACAACCAGGAAACACUAGCCAACCUGCUUGCCUUGGAAGAGGGAAGGAGACGCGAGAUAUCAAGCUACUACGCAACACCUAGAGGGCCUACACCUUCCAUCUAUAAAAAUUUUUUGUCUCAACCUCAAUCUUCACAUUUUGCACAACAUCGGCACUUAGCAAUCCCUCGUCUUCCUGGAGUUAAUAUUCAACCAAAUACUUAUAGUCUCCCGUAUACUUUUUCUCCUCAUCAUUUUCCUUCUUUUGAAGGAGGAAGUCUUAUUGCUGCUUUAGACCUUGUUUCUGAUACUAAAGUACCCGAAAAAAAGUUAAUUUCCUCUUCCUGUUUUCCUUAUGAACUUUAUCCUUCAUCGAUUGAUUCUAAUGGUUUUGCUGGUGUUUUAAUCAAUAGAAGAAGACCAUCUUUAAAUAUGCACCCCUCUAACCAAGUACCUGUGGUGGGUAAUAAAGUAGAGCCAAAUCCUGGUUACUCCUUUAGAAAUACUGGCGUAAUUAGUGACUCUAUUUUUGACAUUUACCUCAAAGAUCGAGUUUUUUUAAAAAGUGAUGACGAUAGCACCUUUUCCAAUAGAAUCGUUAACGACGUGAAUAUUAAAAGUGAUGGCGGAAAUGUUAAUAUAUGCAAAGAUUACCAUAAUACCAUUAAUGCUGGGUUUAACACUGUAAAAAACGAGACUAGUGGUAAUAUAAUUAGUAAUUGUAAGAAAGUUAAUUAUAACAAGGGCGUCAACAACGACUUAAACUGCUCUCCCCAUUUAUCAAGAAAUAUAGAUUUGAAUUGUGAAAUAAGUGAUAAGGAUGGUCAAUUGACCGUGAAAGCUGCUCCGCUUGUUACUGCCGAUGUAGUGAGCUCCGCCGUGCCUUCCUUUCAAAAAGAUUUAUACGAAAUGCUACCUUCUAACUUGCCAGUUUUGGGACUUCAUCAAGAUUCAGUUACAAUAGGGGAUAGUGAAGGCUCUGAAGGAUUAGCAAAGGCUUCAGAAAAAGAAGCAGGAAAAGAAAAAAAUGAAAUUUGCGACUAUUUGACAGAUGAAUUUUUAGAUAAGCUUAUCGGAGAUCUCUCUAACGAUCUCUUGCAGGUGGAUUUGGAAGGGAAUACUUGUCAGGAACAGUCUACAAUUAAACGUCACACGACUGAUAGAAGUGAUGAUUUUCUUGCUAGUGGUUUCUCAGAACCGAAGUCCUUGUUAAGUUCGGGCUCUUUGGAGGGUAUCGUAAAGUCCUUUUUUUAGUAUCCUUUGUUAAAAAAGUGAGACGAAGAAAAAGAUCUUAAUUAA